rnacentral:rRNA from 1 species
GACGGAGGAUGCAAGCGUUCUCCGGAAUGAUUGGGCGUAAAGCGUCCGCUGGUGGCAGUUCCAGUCUGCUGUCAAAGACCGGGGCUUAACUUCGGAAAGGCAGUGGAAACUGAACAGCUAGAGUAUGGUAGGGGCAGAGGGAAUUCCUGGUGUAGCGGUGAAAUGCGUAGAGAUCAGGAAGAACAUCGGUGGCGAAGGCGCUCUGCUGGACCAUAACUGACACUCAGGGACGAAAGCUAGGGGAGCGAAUGGG